CCUCCAAUUCGAGCUGAAAGACCGGUUAACGGUUGCUGACACAUUUUCGAACUCGCAAGCGCGUCGACUGCUGUAUAUAAUAAAUAUUACGGCUUUUCGGAGAACAGUUCUUUCCCGUUUACAUGGAUUGUUUUCCAGGAACCGGCACAACGACGACGGGGAAUAUCGAACGUAUAAUUAUUAUUGAUAAGAUCACAGAAUGCGAUCGUUUAAUCUCGUCAGAGACGAAUGUUGAUCAGAUCCGUGCGGACAUUGUCCAGCUGUUGUUCUAUCUCGGGCAGCAGGCUGAAAUUCAUCACGGCUAUAAAAAUAGCGCAGCAUGGCAGACAUUGUAAUCGACUUAUGAAUCACCGUACGCGGAAAAAAACUGGAGCUUUAUCGCCUACGCGAAGCGGCUUUUGGAAGAAGCUAUCAGGAGGAUGCCGUCAGUGCAGCUGUGACAAAGGAAAUUGCAAGGCUUCCAGUCUAUCUGCAACGGAUAAACCAGACUUCAUAUUCAGCAUUCACUUACUCGAUUUAUAUUGCUGCUACGUUUGCCGCACAAAGCAAAACAGUCAAUUAUCAUCCUCGUUCGCACUUGCAAAAACCCAAUUGGAUCUUUUCCGAUAGCUCCAGCCUACGCCAUGAGAAGAAAGCCUUUCUGCAGAAGAUCCACAGAAAGGCCAAGAAAUAAUGGUGCUUGAGGAAGGUAAUCGCAGAACAGGCAGCCGCCAUGGACAACAUCUGUUCCAAAAGCGGACUUGGCAGCAUCUCUCGUGCGCUCUUGAAACAAUAACUUAUUGUCACAACCUAUGAGCAAUAACUUAUUACUGAAAGGCGAAAAGUUUUACCUUUUUACUACUGUAGGAUACUUUACUUGCUUCGGAAAAGUGACGUAUAAAUUUCCUAUUUUCGCUCUUUUAUUCACCGUGUAUUUAUGUGAUGUAUAGGUUUUCUUAAGCGGGACAUUGAUAGUAUAUCGCAGCAGCAGUUUCUGUUAUCGCAUUAUUCAAUAGUUUUACCAUGCGACUUCAUGAUUGUUCAUGAUAAGUUGGCGUAUCUGUCGUAUCAUAAGCUGUCAAGUAGUGAAGGUACAUGUACGGCAGGGUGCUCAUUGUCAGCGAAAACAACAUCGUGCUUUUUUAAAAUUUAAUGGAGCUUAAAGAUUGGUAAGCUGGCUUAUUUUUGAACUUGUCACCGACGUUUACCGAUACCGGUCACUCAGCGUGCAUCUGUAUUACCAUUAACGCUACAAGAAUUUAUUGUCAUGACUCGUGAAAAGGAUGAUGGAGAAUGGCAAACCUCCGUUGUCGAUAAGAUCGCAACUUAUGACCGUUCCAUCUCGUCGGAGACGGAUGUUGGUAAAAUCCGUAUGGAUAUUAUUGACCUGUUGAUAUAUCUCGGGAAGCAAGCGGAAAUUUAUAACAGCUACUGGCGGGCUACAAGAACAGCGCAAAAUGGCAGUUGCUGAGAUCGACUUAUGAUGCAACCGCUGCCCGCAAAAUCGGGCUCCAGCCAACGUCGUGCGACGAAAGCAGUUCCACAAGAGAUCAACACUGCUUGGAGAUCCAGCGCUUAACAGAUAUCAUUGCGGAACAAGCGGCUGUCAUCGACAAGUGACAACAUGAAGAACGUCUUAAAAAAAUCGACGACCAUAAUUUUCCUCCGCGACCCUCCCCUAAUUAGCAAAGCGUUUCACAUUGUGCGCCGCAGACAGAAUUGUUCAGUAACCGCUGCAGCAAUAAAGUGCGAUUAUCCUUUGUGUGUUUUGUCCGAUCGUAUACCUUACCUUCCAAAAUUAACUUUACAUUCUCUUUAUACGUAGUUUAUAUGUCGAUAUAUUAUCUUUAUUUGUUGCUGUUACGAUAGUAAUGAAUGUCUAUGAUAAAUAUGCCCUUGAGCAGUUCCGGCAUAACACUUCCGUUAUGCUAGUUCACGUCUUGUUUACAAGUUCACAUCUAUGCGUUCUCAUUACCGAUAUACAAUUCUGUAUAUAAGCCGGCUACUGUACCGUUAUGCAAUAUCGCUAUGCAGCCUGACGACUGAGCAAUACAUGGAUAAUAAACGCUAACGCUAAACCACCAUUUUGGUGGCUCCAGGGGCUCGCUAUGCAUUCUAUCUGUAUAGCACGGACCAGCGCCCGCUAACACUUUAACUGGUCGUUCUUGACCUUUUGUUUUUGCAUAAUGCUUAUAUUUUUGCUUAACGCUAAUAUCUUGGCUAUGCCCGAUGUUUCCGUUCAACAUCACCAAACGGAAGAACGACGACCGCACGCUUAUUGAAGAAUCAUCUGAGCACAAGCGCAACGCCCGUGAUCCCGACCAAAUUCCGGUCCCCGACUCGCCUCCUUCUGACCCGAAAGCAAACGGACCAGCAACAAGAAAUCGUGUGAAACUUCCGGAACUCACCCUUCAAGAACAAUACGCAAAAUUGGAUCAAGCCACUCGACCACAGAAAGAUCUGACAGCCCCACCGGAACCAGCCAUCCAAGCGCAACAAAUUGCUGAAGAAAAUCUGCAACAACCGCAACCAGGAAACGAUCUUGCAAUACCACCGGAGCAAGUUCCCGUGCAGCCAAUUAACGGAGGAUCACCACCUUGACAAUCUGUACAGUCCCCGAGACGUAGUCCCACCUCGUCACGCUUCUUUCGGUACGGAUCAAAAUCUACGCCUCAAUCCCCAGAACGCAACCUGACCUCGCCACGACGAUCUGCAGCAAAAUCCAUAGAACGCAAUCCAGCCUCGCCACGCACUAUCCGGCGCGUAACGCCUGAAGCUUUAGCGAACCUUGACAACAUCAUUAAGGACGCAACGUUGAAAGCUUCGCGCAUUCCGACACCGCCUCGACCACCAGUUCCCCACAAGCGCAUUUCACCGGCUAAAACAUCUUUCCUCAGUAAUCAAGUUAUCUAAAUAUUAAAUUGCGUAAGUUGCGGCCGAUCUGAUUAUGUGGAUCUAGGAAGUGAACUACUGACGCGGGUUGUUGUUUCAGUAUAGGCAUCCAAGAGAGGGUUAAUCCAAAAAAAAACUUGCACAUAAA